rnacentral:misc_RNA from 1 species
AUUUGGUAACAAGGUUGUAGUACUCUGCAGCAUUUGUUGUUGUACAGGAACUUUUGGUUGUUGCAUCAAAUGAAUAGGGUGCUGAUUAGAUGUCAAGCCAGAGUUACCAGGUUGUUGACUUCCAGACAGCUGUUGUUGCUGGACCCCAGCAAUACUACUUUGAGAGCCCAAUUGCUGCUGAUGCAUAUUUUGAAAGUUGUUUUGCUGAUGCAUAUAGUUGUUCUGUUGGCCCACUAGCCUCUGCUGCACAUCAGGCAUUGCAUUCUGUUGACUCAUCAAUUGGUUCUGCUGGAGAUUUGCAACAUUUGUCUGUUGUGCAAUCAGCUGCUGCUGUUGUUGUUGUUGUUGU